AGGGGGCCAUCCCGGCUUACCAACCCGAUGCAAACUGCGAAUACCGGAGAAUGUUAUCACGGGAGACACACGGCGGGUGCUAACGUCCGUCGUGAAGAGGGAAACAACCCAGACCGCCAGCUAAGGUCCCAAAGUCAUGGUUAAGUGGGAAACGAUGUGGGAAGGCCCAGACAGCCAGGAUGUUGGCUUAGAAGCAGCCAUCAUUUAAAGAAAGCGUAAUAGCUCACUGGUCGAGUCGGCCUGCGCGGAAGAUGUAACGGGGCUAAACCAUGCACCGAAGCUGCGGCAGCGACACUAUGUGUUGUUGGGUAGGGGAGCGUUC
rnacentral:rRNA from 1 species